rnacentral:lncRNA from 1 species
CAAGUUUCUUUGAAGGUUUGCGGUGUUCUUGAGUUUUCUCGCGGAGUUUCGCACAGUUUUUCCGAUUGAUCGCUGACUCAAUCGUAGCUUAAGUAAGUGUUGUUCGCCGCAUUCUGUGAUUCGCUGAGUUUCAUGAGAAAAAUGAGAAGCAAUCGCUCAAGUCCAGUUGCGCCCGUCGCUGCUGAAGGCGCCGCUGCCAUGACCAUGGCGCAGAUGGCAG